CUAGGAGGUGUAGGCUUACCCGGC
rnacentral:scRNA from 1 species